rnacentral:rRNA from 1 species
UAAUUUUUGNAAANAAAAAUUUAAGAAGUCUGUUCGACUUUUAAAAAAUUACAUGAUUUGAGUUCAGACCGGUACAAGCCAGGUCAGUUUCAAUCUUCUAUCAUUUAGUAUACAGUACGAAAGGACCUAUAUUAAUAAUUUUAUUAUUUAUUUAGCAAAUAAUGCAUUAGAAUUAGAAUCUAAAUAAACUCUAUUUUAUUUAUUAUAAGAUAUACUACA